GGAGAAGCAAAGUGAUGAGUAUUACUGGCUGGAGCCCAAAGAGGCAUGUGUAUGUGUGUUCAUGCAUGCGCGUGUGUGUGUGUGUGUGUGUGUGUGUGUGUGUGCAGUGGAUGAAUGUAUGAUGGCUAAUUAUAGGGAACUUGCUAUGUGCCUUCUUUUAUUGGGCUGUGACAGUCAAACUGAUAAGAUCUGAUUGCUUC
rnacentral:snoRNA from 1 species